UAAAUUUAUUAACUAAGUCCAUAUACCUUAACAUCAGGCAUCUAGAAAUAUCACAAUAGAUACUUAGAAAAUUUGGGGGGAAAUAGAUAUAGUACUGUUUUUUUGAAGAUGCAUUUACUCUUCCUCUGUCUGAUAAGUCAUCAUUUAAAAUAUACUUUUGGACAACUUUACGUUUUACUGAUUUUAGAGAAAAGAGCAGGAUGUGCCUGUUCACUAUACUCAUUUUUCAGUUCUGUUUUUAAGCUGCUACAAUUACAGUUUGUGAAAGUAUGGAGAGAUGAGUUGAAAUAGAGUAUUUUCUGUUAAUAUUUUUAAAUGUGAUUAUGAUAGUCUUGUGUACUGUGGGUUUCAUUUUUACUUUGUUGUUCACUGAUCUUUUAUACUAUAAUGUUCUAUAUCAGCCCACUGUUUUGUCUGUGUACUUGUGCUCUAAAUAAAAUUCUAGUUUUAUGUCACUGUGA